CGCAACAACAAGAAAACAAGCCAAAAAGAUCAAAUGCUCCGAUUUACUUCCGAUAAAAAUUCUUCGUAUUGAAUUGUUACAAUUGCACAAACAAUAUGCCUUACGAAUUUGUGUUGUCAACAAUGGGAACACCCAGAUGCAUUGUGGCCAAGUGACAAAUGGGGUUUGGUGUUUUUUUUCGUGACUCCUCUCCUCCGUGUGCACACUGCGCGCCAUGGGUUGCCUAUGCCGAUGCCGAUGCCGACUCCGACUCCGACGUGGCACCGAACAGUGUCCUUGCUGCGGCUGAUAAUGUCAUUACCUGGGCAGACGCAGACGCAGACCAAGAGCAAAUGGAAGCCUGCCUGGUCACCGCAUGACGUCACCAGGGCCUGUGUGUGUUUUCUUUUUUUUUUGGGUCGCGUCGCAAACAUAAAGCGACAAAUUGACGCAAAACAUUUAACACACGGGCAGGACAGGACAGGACCAGAACCAGAACCAGGAUCCCGGACAUGGUCAAACAUGGCCCAUUGCCUUUUGGUGGAGGAGGAGGAGGGGAGCAACGACUACAACGUUGGCGGCGCUCCUCUAUGAGGCAUGGAAAAAUUCUUUUGAAUUACGUCCGUUGCAGCAGCAGCAGCACCACCACCACCACCACUACCACACACAUGUGUGUGUGUGUGUCAGCCCAUGGCUAUGCGGAAAAAAGGACAUCUCCGCCGUCGGCGGUGGUGCCGUGUUGGUGGCCAGGCAGCAGUGGCAGCGGCAGCGGCAGCAGCGUCGUCGGCCAGCGUUGAGCAAUAUUUAUAAACUGAAGUCGGGCAGGAGCAGGAGCAGCAGCAGCAGCAGCAGCAGCAGGAGGAGGAGGACAAGAGAGGUGUCCCCGCAAGGACACUGGACAAGUGGCAGUAGAAGUGGGCCAUGGCCAAGAGAGGAGACUGGAGGCUGGAGGAGCACAAGACUAAGCUCAUUUAAUGGGAAUGGAUUUGUUUGUUGUUUGUGGCACAGCACGAGCAAGCAGCCCCGCGCAACCACUGGCCAACGGAUCAUCUAAUUGAAUGACAAUAUUAUGCCAAGGCCUAAUUCAAUUUGCAUUCCGCUGGAGGGCAGGCAGGCCGCAACGCAACGCAACGCGUCACAUCGCAUCGCAGUCCCCCCUUCGAAAGCAGUUGUUUAAAUCUUAAACAAACACAGCAAUCAGCAAUUACAGCAGAACGGAUGCACUUGCUGCUGCUGCUGCUUCUGCUAAGGUGCCUGUGCCUCUGCUGGUGGGUUUUCGUCUAGCCAAAUGACUCGGACUGGUACUGGGACUCCUCCCUGGCCCUGUAAUUAGUCCUGGGAUAAAACGAGAUGAGAAACGAGAGGAUGAGGGUUGCUGCCUAAUUACAGGGUAAUCAGGCUUUCAGCCGCUUUGGCUUUGGCGCUACCGUUUUUUUGGGGCAGCUAGAUGAUGAUUGAUUAGUGGCCAUCGCCAUCGCCAUUGCCAUCGCCAUCCUUAAACCCUAAGCCCGAAGACGAAUCUACCUUGCAUCUGUGGAUUGAUGACAUCUGCCUCCAAAGUGCAGGACGCGCGCGUGCCAGCGGCAGCAACAAAGGCAACAAAACGAAUGGCAAAAAGGAAAAAGUGCAAACAAGCAGCUGAAAGCCAAAAAGAGCUCUGAAAUGGAUAUGGAAAACAGCGACAGGCGACAAGCGGCAAGCGGCAAGAGGCAGCGGCAGCGGCAAGCGAGAGGGAAAAAGCAAAUCGAAAACUGAUUUGGAGCGGAAGUUCGUUUGCACCUUUCCCAGCAACAGCAGUUUCCUGUAUUUGCGAUGUCAAGAACAAUAAGAACACGAGGAGACUCCGAUCCAAAUAAGAGCGAGAGCGAGGGAGAGGGAGUACGAGUACGAGUACGCACUGUCAAGACAUUAAGAAAUCCAUGAAUCAGUGGAAAAUGUUCUACUACCUUGACGUUUUGGCCUUUGACGCCGUCUAUUGUCUUGAGAAUUGGAAUGCACAACAGAGGAGAGCAGCGAAAAACAGCAGCACCGCCCGUUGGCUUUUGUAUUGCAAAUCAAAAGCUAUAUGCGACUCCAUUCCAUACCAUACCAUAUAUAGAUUAAGGAUAUGCUUGCCCUGCGUAUGUGUGUAUGCAAAGGAGCAGGCACGGCACGGCACGGCACAGUCCCAAGGAGCAGCUGUCGUCGUCGCUUGCUCGCUCCAUCUCCAUCGCCGUCUCUGUAUUUGAUUUGCGAUUUCUGAGGCAAGCGGAAAUGGAAUGACACGCGAGGCACUCCAGCAGCAGCAGCAGCAGCACAGCCACUCCUCACAUUGUUUGGCAGCAGCAGAUUGGCAAAAAUGGAGGCAAAAACCAAACCUAAAAGAGUCCCAAACAGCGGCUUCCUUCCACUUGAGCCAUACGCAUUGUUUGACUGCUGUUCGAAACUAGGGCCAGUGCUUGCCUUUGAAGGGGCGUGCCGCCAAUGGAGGAAGCAUAUGCCUGGAAAUCGGAUAUCGCUCUAAACAAUCCAAAAAAACCAACGAAAAAACAAAACACAAACAUUUCUAGUCCCGAAAGCAGAGUUUUCCAACCCACUGAGCAGCCGCAAUCUGACGAUUCAGCUGCCGCUGCCACUGCCACUGCCACUGCCGUUGAGGGGAGAGUAGUAGGUGUAAACCUGAGCAACGCGUGUCCUAGGCCUAGACCCAGACCCAGGCCUAGGCCUAGGCCUAGAGGAUGGCCACUGAUGUCUAAUUAGCGUAUGGGUCGGGUCACAGGUUAAUGAUGUGCGCAUUGCGCACCCCGUGCCUGCGCUUCCGCCUUGGACUGGAUGGACACGACACUGCAGCAAUUAUACGAGGCACUUGAGCUUGAACGAGGAAUGCAGCAGCAGCAGCAAAAGCAGAAGCAGCAGAAACAGAAGCAAUGUAGCUUCUUCCCAAUCAUUGACCCCUCUGGAGUGGACGGGACUCGACUGGAAUGGACUCUCUGUUUCGGGUUUUAUGAUGUUGUCGUAAAUGUCAGGUGCUCUGUGCCCCAUUUAAAUUUAUUUCAACAUAAUUAGUUCGUUUCGUUUCUAUGUUUCUGUGUUUGUUGCAGGCAGGCGGGAAGGGUGGCAGGGCAGGGAACAAAUGAAAUUUAAUUUGAUUUCCAAACCCCAAACGCCCCCCUUCCCCCCACGAAAGAGUGUUCAAAUAGAGCCGGAUUACACACCCCCCGCCCCACCAAAAAUGAAAGCAAAAAUUCGAUUUCCUGAAAUGUUGCGAUGAUAAAUAUUCCGGUGGUGGUGUGGCCGGGGAUUACAUAAACUGGACUCGUAUUCGGGACAAACACCUGCAGACGCAGCUUUGCUGAACGGAAGAACCACUGGGAGCCAGGACUGGACACUGGACACGGGACACGGGACACGGGACGUGCACAAAUAAAAUGCAAAAAUGAUCAUUUCGAGAUAUGCGAAAAACGGGACCUGGACCUAGAGGACGACGCUGCAGGAUACCAGACGGAGGAGGAGUAGGAUAUGGCACCAUCUAUGUGCAUGGUCCUUCAUCCUCCUCGCGUUCCGUGACGAUAGCGCAGAGGCGGGAAUGGGGCUCUGGUCCAUGUCGUUUGCACGCCAUUAUCCUUGCCCCCGGAUGCACAACAAUCAAAAUAAACGGCUGCCAAAUUGACCAUUGACCAAACAUCGUCAGCAGGAGGAGGAGGAGCAGAGCACGAAUGCUGCUCGAUGGAUGACCAGGAAGGAGGAGAACCAACCCCACCCCCACCCCGAAGGAGGACAAGCAAUGCCCCCUAUGUAGUAGCACAGAGAACCUCGAUGCCGAUUGGUGGUGGAGGUGGAGAGAGGAGAACUCAAUGCCGAAUGGUGAAGGAUGUGUGGGAGUGGGAGUCAGAGUGGAUGUUCGCGGGCGAAUUGGACAAGCGACAUCAUCUUUUGGCACUGUCACGUCCACUCCAUCCAGAACUCAAGGUUCAAGCAUCCAGCCAUCAGCAGAGAAAAAGGCGGAACAAACAGGGGACCCACUUGUUUUUGGCGUCCGUCAAAGAACAGAACAGAAUCGAAUCGAAUCAAAUUGGGGGAAACGUCAAAGCGAUUAAAUGGGAGGACAGUCGUAUCCUCUGGAUUAUUUCGUUUGUUCAAGGACUUAAAUGGAAGAGAACAUUAAAGCCUGCAGGAAUAUGCGGAUUGGAAAGUGAGCCGAGCAUCUGUGUCCUCCAAUCUAGAUCCCAUCCCCGCUCCCCGUUCUUUGGGUAACAGCUCUCUUUCAUAAUUAACCAGAAAUGUUUGCCACUCGCGCGAGUGCCUCCAACCCCAGCAUCGAUUUGCGCGAUAUUAUUGCAGAAUAAUGAAAUCGCCAAGAGAUUCCAAUUCAAUCUACGCGCCGCGUAGGCCAUUUAUGGAUUGGCAUUGAUUUAAUACCGCGUCGUCGUCGUCGUCGUCGCCGUCGCCAUCUCUUGGCGAUCGAUCGCCUCCAGGUUUUCUGCCAGGCGUCCCCUGAGCCCAAGGCGCAAGGCAUUUUGCACCUACCAGAAACAGAAACAAAAUCAGAAGAUGCAAGAGGAAGGAGAAGGAGCCAGGCACUCCAAGCAGCGGACUCCAAAGUCCGAAUCUGAUCUGAUUCCCGCCGCCUAUCGGAGCUGGAGAUCAACAGAAGGAGCAGCAGCAGACGCCACCGCGGCGGAGGAUGGAGCUGAAGCUGGAGCUCUACUCGCGAAUGUUUAUUCAAUAAACUCGAUCUUCGAUGUAGAAGCAGCAGCUGGCUGGCUGACUGGCUGGCUGGCAGGCUGUGCAUUCCAGCACAGAGGAGACCCACUCUCCACACGACAGUGGCCCCCAUUCAAGACAAGCCGCUGGAAUUUCUUGGUGCGUGCUCGGCACAGGUUCGGUCUCGGGUUCAGGUUCAGGUUCAGCUGGUUAGCGCUGUAGCUGUAGCUGGAGCUGGGAGCUGAAGCUGAGAGCUUUGGCGUCUGCCAGCUGCGUCUCCUGAUUAUGAUAAUGGGGAGAGACCAGGCCGUGCCACUGGUACGGGGCCGGGGCCCGGUUGCUAUAUGAUCGAAUGAUCGAAUGCUUGGCAGCUCCGUUGACUUUCUGAUUAAUGCAAGAAUGCUCCUUGGCGGCGUUCUUGCUUUUUGCUGCCCUGCCCGAUUCUUCUUUCCGACUGCAAUUAAAAGUGCUUACCCUUUUCGCCAGGGACGGGGAGCCUCAAAGAAGGUCAAAGCGGGACUUAAGAAAGGAAUUACCAACACCCGGAUACCGGGAUAGCCAGAUAGCCGAUGCCCGAUGCCCGACACCCACGGGCAUCCCGUGUUCGUUGUGGUGGCCAGCGCACGCAUCAGAUUGAUUCUUGACCGGCUGCCGGUAGUCUCCUGCUGUGUGCCUGAUGCCAGAUGCGGCCUCUUCUUCGCCGUUGCCGUCGCCGUCGCCGUCGUCGGAAGACAAACGACAGACCAGUCGCGGCAGCAGCCGCCUCGUGCCUACCAGUUGUCAUAACGUUCAACACAUAUCUGCCCCUCGGUGGCGUCGUCGUCGUCGUCGCUACCAUCACUGUGGUCAUCAUCGGUGGUGCCCCCACCAUGUUCCAUGUCCCAUGUCCCAUGUCCCAGGGCUCUCUGCGCUGCCAUAAAAGGAUUUGUCACGUGCGAGCUUUUGUUAAAAAUUCAACAAUCAUCAUCAUCGGAGGGCAAUCUCCAUUGCAGCAGCAGCAGCAGCAGCGGCGGCAGCAGCGGCUCUCUGCAUUAUGCAUGUCGCAUUGCCAGAGCAGACAUCGUUCGGAGCAUUCCUUCGUUCGAAGGCAGGUCCUGCUCCUCACUGGCCCAUAUGGUAUCCCCUCCAUUCACCAUUCACCAUCCAGCAUCCACACUGCCAGUUGCAGAUCAUUGAAAUUUAUAAUUAAGUGGAAAUAUGUUGUCUACGAACGAAAGAUUGCAACAAGGA